CUACGGGAGGCUCCAGUGGGGAAUAUUGCACAAUGGGCGCAAGCCUGAUGCAGCAACGCCGCGUGAGGGAUGAAGGCCUUCGGGUUGUAAACCUCUUUUAGCAGGGAAGAAGCGAAAGUGACGGUACCUGCAGAAAAAGCACCGGCUAACUACGUGCCAGCAGCCGCGGUAAUACGUAGGGUGCAAGCGUUGUCCGGAAUUAUUGGGCGUAAAGAGCUCGUAGGCGGUUUGUCACGUCUGCUGUGAAAAUCCAAGGCUCAACCUUGGACUUGCAGUGGGUACGGGCAGGCUAGAGUGCGGUAGGGGAGAUGGGAAUUCCUGGUGUAGCGGUGGAAUGCGCAGAUAUCAGGAGGAACACCAAUGGCGAAGGCACAUCUCUGGGCCGUAACUGACGCUGAGGAGCGAAAGCGUGGGGAGCGAACAGGAUUAGAUACCCGCGUAGUC
rnacentral:rRNA from 1 species